GAUGAACGCUGGCGGCGUGCUUAACACAUGCAAGUCGAACGAUGAAGCCCAGCUUGCCGGGUGGAUUAGUGGCGAACGGGUGAGUAACACGUGAGUAACCUGCCCUUAACUCUGGGAUAAGCCUGGGAAACUGGGUCUAAUACCGGAUAGGAGCGUCCACCGCAUGGUGGGUGUUGGAAAGAUUUAUCGGUUUUGGAUGGACUCGCGGCCUAUCAGCUUGUUGGUGAGGUAAUGGCUCACCAAGGCGACGACGGGUAGCCGGCCUGAGAGGGUGACCGGCCACACUGGGACUGAGAAACGGCCCAGACUCCUACGGGAGGCAGCAGUGGGGAAUAUUGCACAAUGGGCGCAAGCCUGAUGCAGCGACGCCGCGUGAGGGAUGACGGCCUUCGGGUUGUAAACCUCUUUCAGUAGGGAAGAAGCGAAAGUGACGGUACCUGCAGAAGAAGCACCGGCUAACUACGUG
rnacentral:rRNA from 1 species